GGAUGUAGCGGCGGACGGGUGAGUAACACGUGGGUAACCUGCCUGUAAGACUGGGAUAACUCCGGGAAACCGGAAGCUAAUACCGGAUAGUUCCUAGAAACCGCAUGGUUCAAGGAUGAAAGACGGUUUCGGCUGUCACUUACAGAUGGACCCGCGGCGCAUAGCUAGUUGGUGAGGUAACGGCUCACCAAGGCGACGAUGCGUAGCCGACCUGAGAGGGUGAUCGGCCACACUGGGACUGAGACACGGCCCAGACUCCUACGGGAGGCAGCAGUAGGGAAUCUUCCGCAAUGGACGAAAGUCUGACGGAGCAACGCCGCGUGAGUGAUGAAGGNNUUCGGAUCGUAAAGCUCUGUUGUNAGGGAAGAACAAGUNCAAGAGUAACUGCUUGCACCUUGACGGUACCUAACCAGAAAGCCACGGCUAACUACGUGCCAGCAGCCGCGGUAAUACGUAGGUGGCAGCGUUGUCCGGAAUUAUUGGGCGUAAAGGGCUCGCAGGCGGUUUCUUAAGUCUGAUGUGAAAGCCCCCGGCUCAACCGGGGAGGGUCAUUGGAAACUGGGAAACUUGAGUGCAGNAGAGGAGAGUGGAAUUCCACGUGUAGCGGUGAAAUGCGUAGAGAUGUGGAGGAACACCAGUGGCGAAGGCGACUNUNUGGUCUGUAACUGACGCUGAGGAGCGAAAGCGUGGGGAGCGAACAGGAUUAGAUACCCUGGUAGUCCACGCCGUAAACGAUGAGUGCUAAGUGUUNGGGGGUUUCCNCCCCUUAGUGNNGCAGNUAACGCNUUNANCACUCCGCNUGGGGAGUACGGUCGCAAGANUGAAACUCAAAGGAAUUGANGGGGGCCCGCACNANCGGUGGAGCAUGUGGUUUAAUUNGAAGCAACGNGAAGNACCUUNCCANGUCUNGACNUCCUNUGACAACCCUAGAGAUAGGGCUUUCCCUUCGGGGACAGAGUGACAGGUG
rnacentral:rRNA from 1 species